rnacentral:tRNA from 1 species
GAGGGCAUAGCUCAGUGGUAGAGCGCGUGCUUAGCAUGCAUGAGGUCCUGGGUUCGAUCCCCAGUACCUACA